GGGGGAUAUUGCACAAUGGGGGAAACCCUGAUGCAGCGACGCCGCGUGGAGGAAGAAGGUUUUCGGAUCGUAAACUCCUGUCCUUGGAGACGAGUAGAAGACGGUAUCCAAGGAGGAAGCCCCGGCUAACUACGUGCCAGCAGCCGCGGUAAUACGUAGGGGGCAAGCGUUGUCCGGAAUAAUUGGGCGUAAAGGGCGCGUAGGCGGCUCGGUAAGUCUGGAGUGAAAGUCCUGCUUUUAAGGUGGGAAUUGCUUUGGAUACUGUCGGGCUUGAGUGCAGGAGAGGUUAGUGGAAUUCCCAGUGUAGCGGUGAAAUGCGUAGAGAUUGGGAGGAACACCAGUGGCGAAGGCGACUAACUGGACUGUAACUGACGCUGAGGCGCGAAAGUGUGGGGAGCAAACAGGAUUAGAUACCCUGGUAGUCCACACUGUAAACGAUGAAUGCUAGGUGUAGGGGGUAUCGACCCCUUCUGUGCCGCAGUCAACACAAUAAACAUUCCGCCUGGGGAGUACGGCCGCAAGGUUGAAACUCAAAGGAAUUGACGGGGGCCCGCACAAGCAGCGGAGCAUGUGGUUUAAUUCGACGCAACGCGAAGAACCUUACCAGGUCUUGACAUCCACUUAAACUUACAGAGAUGUAAGGUGUGCUUGCACAAAGUGAGACAGGUGGUGCAUGGUUGUCGUCAGCUCGUGUCGUGAGAUGUUGGGUUAAGUCCCGCAACGAGCGCAACCCUUAUCUUCAGUUACUAACGCGUAAAGGUGAGGACUCUGAAGAGACUGCCGGGGACAACUCGGAGGAAGGUGGGGACGACGUCAAAUCAUCAUGCCCCUUAUGACCUGGGCUACACACGUGCUACAAUGGCCACGACAGAGAGAAGCGAAAUCGUAAGGUAGAGCGGAACUCAAAAAAGUGGUCCCAGUUCGGAUUGUGGGCUGCAACCCGCCCACAUGAAGUCGGAGUUGCUAGUAAUCGCGGAUCAGCAUGCCGCGGUGAAUACGUUCCCG
rnacentral:rRNA from 1 species